CCUACGGGCGGCAGCAGUGAGGAAUAUUGGUCAAUGGACGAGAGUCUGAACCAGCCAAGUAGCGUGAAGGAUGACUGCCCUAUGGGUUGUAAACUUCUUUUAUACGGGAAUAAAGUGAUCCACGUGUGGAUUUUUGUAUGUACCGUAUGAAUAAGGAUCGGCUAACUCCGUGCCAGCAGCCGCGGUAAUACGGAGGAUCCGAGCGUUAUCCGGAUUUAUUGGGUUUAAAGGGAGCGUAGGCGGGGUAUUAAGUCAGUUGUGAAAGUUUGCGGCUCAACCGUAAAAUUGCAGUUGAUACUGGUAUCCUUGAGUGCAGCAGAGGUGGGCGGAAUUCGUGGUGUAGCGGUGAAAUGCUUAGAUAUCACGAAGAACUCCGAUUGCGAAGGCAGCCUGCUGGACUGUAACUGACGCUGAUGCUCGAAAG
rnacentral:rRNA from 1 species